rnacentral:rRNA from 1 species
GAUGAACGCUGGCGGCGUGCCUAAUACAUGCAAGUCGAGCGAACAGACGAGAAGCUUGCUCCUCUGACGUUAGCGGCGGACGGGUGAGUAACACGUAGGUAACCUACCUAUAAGACUGGGAUAACUUCGGGAAACCGGAGCUAAUACCGGAUGAUAUUUCGAACCGCAUGGUUCGAUAGUGAAAGAUGGCCUUGCUAUCACUUAUAGAUGGAUCUGCGCUGCAUUAGCUAGUUGGUAAGGUAACGGCUUACCAAGGCAACGAUACGUAGCCGACCUGAGAGGGUGAUCGGCCACACUGGAACUGAGACACGGUCCAGACUCCUACGGGAGGCAGCAGUAGGGAAUCUUCCGCAAUGGGCGAAAGCCUGACGGAGCAACGCCGCGUGAGUGAUGAAGGUCUUCGGAUCGUAAAACUCUGUUAUUAGGGAAGAACAAACGUGUAAGUAACUGUGCACAUCUUGACGGUACCUAAUCAGAAAGCCACGGCUAACUACGUG